AUGUCUCAGGCCAUGGGACAUAAUGGUCACUAUCGGUGACCUUCUAUUACAGAUAGUGACCAUUAUGUCCCAUGGCCUGGGACGUAUGGCUAUAGGUGAUCGUCUUUUACAGAUAGUGACCGUUAUGUCCCAUGGCCCAGAGUUUAUGGCUAUAGUUGACCUUCUAUUACCUAUAGUGACUGUUACGUCCCAUGGCCUUAAGCGUAUGUCUAUUGGUGACCUUCUAUUACAGAUAGUGACCGUUAUGUCCCAUGGCCUGGGAUGUAUGGGUAUAGGUCUGCCCCAGUACAUUGAAUGGAUGACAUUAACACAACACACAUCAACGCAAGACAUAAUAUGCUUAGAGGCCAGACGGCAAACAGGUCAGGUGUGUGAAUGGACCUUAAGACUUGUUCUGGACCUGCAGUCACUCUAGCAGCUGAUCGUGUACAAAAUCGAUUCUGCAGCAUUGAAAACCUCAUCCCAGUCACCACCAGUCUGUAGACCAUGGGUUCUCAACCUGUGGCCCUCCAGCUGUUGCAGAACUAUAAGUCCCAAUCACGCCUCUGCCUUUGUGUGUCAUGCUUGCAACAGUCAGCAGCUUGCAAUGCCUCAUGGGACAUGUAGUUCCACAAUAGCUGGAGGGCCACAGAUUGAGGACCCAGUCUGUAGACCAUUUCUGCUUGGUGGAUGCAAUGGUCUCACCUCUACCAUCCCUCUAUGUGCAAUAAUCAUUCAAUCGAUGUUUGUAGAAGUUGAUUCUUUCUUUAUUUUUCUUUGGUUAUUUGAAGUUCCUGAUGGAAUUUUCUUUGGUUCUGAAGAAAUAAUGACACAUAUCCUACAUUUCUACAAUUCCGGCUCAAGUCCUGGGUAUCUGACAUUUGGCUGAACUGUUAAAUGAUGGUCUCAUAUGGUCAUGGAGAAUGCUCUAGAAUCUCUAGUCACAAGUUCUAGGUUGUGGAACACAGAAAACCUUCAAUAACUUCAGAUAUCAAAGAUUGGCGAAAUUUCCUGGGGAAGAACAUAUAACGCCCCCCAACCCCCCACCCCUUGACGUCAAUGGGGCCACAGAGCGUUGAGCAAAUAGGCUCCUUUGGCAUCAACUUGGUUGUUCAGCCUCAAGACCAAUCAGCAAGAAGCUGUUAUUGGCUGUAUACUGUACUCUCUGUGCCUUGUCCAAUCAACAAAAAAAUCCUGAAUGUUACAUGUAAAACACAUGGACGGUAUCCUUAAAGGACAACUAUCACAAAGAAAUACUGUACUUGUUGUAUGCACAAACUGUCCCUGAUAGGUUUACAAACAAAUCAUAUCACCUAUUUGAUUAAAGUUGACAUAAUUGUUAUUAUUGGUAUAUUUAUUACGUGUUGUCACCAAUCAUGCCAUCAUGCCAUCCCAAUCAUGCCAUCCUAAUAGGAAUGCACUCAUGGUGGGUCUUGGAUUGAAAUCUUCUAAUUGUAUUGUCCAUGCGAUCCUCUGAAUGCAUGCUGAUGUUCCCUCAAUAGUACUGUCCUUAUGGGUUUCCUCCAAUGGCACUGGGCUCCCAAUUCAGUCCUCUGAAUGCAUGCUGAGCUUCCCUUGAUAGAACCAUCCCUAUGGCUCUCCUCUAAUGACACGGGGGCUCCUAACUAUAUUGUCCACACCGUCCUCUGAAUGCAUGCUGAGGUUCUCCCAUAGAACCAUCCCAAUGGGUCUCCCAUAGUAUCUACUAAGGUCCCUUUGAUAAAACCAUCCCUAUGGGUCUCCUCCAAUGGCACAGGGCUCCUAAUUCUACUGUCCACACAGUCCUCUGAAUGCAUGCUAAGCUACCCUUGAUAGAACCAUCCUUAUGGGUCUCCUCUAAUGGCACAAAGACGUCUAACUAGAUUGCCCAAACAGUCCUCUGAAUGCAUACUGAGGUUCCCAUGAUAGAACCCUUCUUAUAGGGUCUCCUCUAAUUCCAUUGUCCUCACAGUCCUCUGAAUGAAUGCUGAGGUUCCCUCAAGAGAACUAUCCCUAUGGGUCUCCUCUAAUGCCACGGGGCUCCUAACUAUAUUGUCCACACUAUCCUCUGAAUGCAUGCUGGGGUUCUCUCAUUAGAACCAUCCCAAUGGGUCUCCCCUAAUGUCUACUUAAGUUUCUUUUGAUAAAACCAUCCCUGUGGGUCUUGUCCAAUGGCACAGGGUUUCUAAUUCUAUUGUCCACACAGUCCUCUGAAUGCAUGCUGAGCUUCCCUUAAUAAAACCACCCCUAUGGGUCUCUUUGAAUGGCAUGGGGACUCCUAUCUAGAUUGUCCAAACAUUCCUCUGAAUGUAUACUGAGGUUCCCUUGAAAUAAUCAUUCUUAUCAGUCUCUUCUAAUUCUAUUGUCCCUAAUUAUAGGGUCUCUUCUAAUUAUAUUGUCCUCACAGUUCCUCUGAAUGCAUGCUGAGGAUCCCUCAAUAGAACUACCCCUUUGGUCUCCUAUAAUGCCACGGAACUCCUAACUAUACUGGUUACACAGUCCUCUAAAUGCAUGCUGAGGUUCUCUCAUCAGAACCAUUCCUAUGGGUCUCCUCUAAUGCCUAUUAAGGUUCCCUUGUUAGAACCAUUGCUAUGGGUCUCCACAAUGGCACAGGGCUCCUCACUAUAUUGCCGACUCAAUCCUCUGAAUACAUACAGAAGUUACCUUGAUAGAACCAUCCCUAUAGGUCUCUAAUGGCUCAGGGAAUCCCAACUAGAUUACCCAAACAGUCCUCUGAAUGCAUGCUGAGGUUCCCGGCCUCAAUAGAACCAUCCCUUUGGAUCUCCUCUGGUGCCUACUGAAGUUCCCUUGAUAGAACCAUCCCUAUGGGUCUUCUCUAAUGGCACAGGCCUCUUUACUAAAUUGUCGACACAGUCCUCUGAUUGCAUACUGAGGUUCGCUUGAUAGAACUCUCCCUAUGGUCUCUAAUGGCAUGGGGACGCCUAACUAGAUUUACCGAAUAGCCCUCUGAAUGCAUACUGAGGUUCCCUUGAUAGAACCAUAUUUAUAGGUCUCCCUCUAAUUAUAUUAGCCCUAAUAAUUGGAUCUCCUCUAAUUCUAUUGUCCUCACAGUCCUCUGAAUGCAUACUGAGGUUUUCUCAAUAGAACCAUGCCUUUGAGUCUCCUCUAAUGGCAUGGGGCUCCUAAUUAUAUUGUCCAAAUAGUCCUCUGAAUGCAUACUGAGGUUCUCUUGAUAUAACCAUUCUUAUGGGUCUCCUCGACAGAACCAUCCCUAUGGGUCUUCUCUAGUGCCACUGGACUCCUAAUUCUAUUGUCCUCCCAGUCCUCUAAAUGCAUGGUGAGGUUCCCUCGAUAGAACCAUCCCUAUGGGUCUCCUCUAAUGCAAACUGAGGUUAGCUUGAUAGAACCAUCCCCAUGGGUCUCCUCUAAUGGCAUUGGGCUCCUAAUUAUAUUGUCCUCCCAGUCCUCUAAAUGCAUGGUGAGGUUCCCUUGAUAGAAUCAUUCCUAUGGGUCUCCUCUAAUGCAUACUAAGGUUAGCUUGAUAGAACCAUCCCUUUGGGUCUCUAAUGGCAUGGGGACUCCUAACUAGAUUGUCCAAAUAGUCCUCUGAAUGCAUACUGAGGUUCUCUUGAUAUAACCAUUCUUAUAGGUCUCCUCGACAGAACCAUACCUAUGGGUCUUCUCUAAUGGCACUGGGCUCCUAAUUCUAUUGUCCACACGAUACUCCAAAUGCAUGGCGAGGUUCCCUUGAUAGAACCAUCCCUAUGGGUCUCCUCUAAUGCAUACUGAGGUUAGCUUGAUAGAACCAUCCCUUUGGGUCUCCUCUAAUGGUAUUGGGCUCCUAAUUAUAUUGUCCAAAUAGUCCUCUGAAUGCAUACUGAGGUUCUCUUGAUAUAACCAUUCUUAUGGGUCUCCUCGACAGAACCAUCCCUAUGGGUCUUCUCUAGUGCCACUGGACUCCUAAUUCUAUUGUUCACAUGAUCCUCAGAAUGCAUGUUGAGGUUCCCUUGAUAGAACCAUCCCUAUGGGUCUCCUCUAAUGCAUACUGAGGUUAGCUUGAUAGAACCAUCCCUUUGGGUCUCUAAUGGCAUGGGGACUCCUAACUAGAUUGUCCACACCGUCCUCUGAAUGCAUGCUGAGGUUCUCUUAUAGGUCUCCUCGACAGAACCAUACCUAUGGGUCUUCUCUAAUGGCACUGGGCUCCUAAUUCUAUUGUCCACACGAUACUCCAAAUGCAUGGUGAUGGUUCCCUUGAUAGAACCAUCCCUAUGGGUCUCCUCUAAUGCAUAUUGAGGUUAGCUUGAUAGAACCAUCCCUUUGGGUCUCCUCUAAUGGCAUGGGGCUCCUAAUUCUAUUGUCCAGGCGAUCCUCUGAAUGCAUGUUGAGGUUCCCUCGAUAGAACCAUCCCUAUGGGUCUCCUCUAAUGGUAUUGGGCU